UUAAUAAAGUUUUAUUGGAACUGUCACAUCCUUUUUAUAUGUGUUGCAUAUAUACAAUUUUGUGCUUAAUGGCAGAGAUGAGCAGUUGACUUGGAGACUGUAUGACCCUCUGGGGCUGAAAUAUUUGUGAUCUUCCUGUGUUUAUGUUACUCUCACGUUAAACACUCAGCCCAGAGCACAUGUGAUUCCAGUCCCUUGCCUGGAUCCUACUUAUGAGGACAAAUGUAUCUGCAACCAAAAUAAAUCCCAAGGACCCAUAUGGCUCAUUCAGCACAACCUCAAAGCUCAAGAGAUCAGGGAGAUGCUGUGAAGCCAGGAUCGCAAUUUGCAGGAGAAUGCAGGGUUUGGAACAGGCUGUUCCAGGUGGCAUUAUGAGAGAUCACUGAAUCAAGAUACUUUAAAAAAAAUCCCUUGUGGAGUUGAGAAAUUCAUUUUCAUCCCAACCUCAAUAAAAUUGACUUUCCUGAGAAAC
rnacentral:lncRNA from 1 species